ACGUCCGCGUCGGCGUCGAGCCCGCGCUCGCGCGGGUGAGAGGGAACCCGGUGGGAUUCCGGGACUGUCCCGCAGCGGUGAGCGGGAACGACCGCCGUCAUGAGCACUGGGAGCCCCCGGGAAGCGACGGCCAGUAGGUCGGCACAGCCGGAGCCCGUGAGUCCGAAGACCUGCCAGAUGCGCCGGGUACGC
rnacentral:ncRNA from 1 species